GUAGGUGGCAAGCGUUGUCCGGAAUUAUUGGGCGUAAAGCGCGCGCAGGCGGUCCUUUAAGUCUGAUGUGAAAGCCCACGGCUCAACCGUGGAGGGUCAUUGGAAACUGGGGGACUUGAGUACAGAAGAGGAAAGCGGAAUUCCACGUGUAGCGGUGAAAUGCGUAGAGAUGUGGAGGAACACCAGUGGCGAAGGCGGCUUUCUGGUCUGUAACUGACGCUGAGGCGCGAAAGCGUGGGGAGCAAACAGGGAUUAGAUACCCUGGUAGUCCACGCCGUAAACGAUGAGUGCUAAGUGUUAGGGGGUUUCCCGCCCCUUAGUGCUGCAGCUAACGCAUUGAGCACUCCGCCUGGGGAGUACGGCCGCAAGGCUG
rnacentral:rRNA from 1 species